GGCUGGUUUAACGAUAGUGGAUUAUCAGAAUUUACUAACAUCAGUGUCACUAAAGUUGGUAUACAACUUCCCACUGCUAAAUUUGACUGGCAAAA
ensembl:misc_RNA Y_RNA Y RNA